rnacentral:lncRNA from 1 species
AAAAGUUGGCAAAAAAUUUCAAGCUUCUACUAACCCAAAUGUGCAUCUCAUCUAACCCGUUUCGGUGAGACCUCCUACUGUUCAAAUUAGGUAGCCGAGUUAACUUCAAUGACAGCAUCUUGAAGUGUCACGAAGAAUCCAAAUCACGAGAGGAGCGGCGAUGAGAGAGAAGGGUGAACACGAUUGAUACAGAAAAGGACAAAGAAAAGCAGACGAAUGAUGGAAGAAGGGGGAAGGGGAGUGGCGUCUGAGGAACAGCGGAUCCCUCGAGAUCCGAUUCCCACCGCCGGGCCAAAUAGUCAAAAAGGAAAGGGGGGCACUGCACUGCACUGCACUGCACCACACGGCACUGCACUGCACUGCACUGCACUGCACUGCACAGGAGGGUGCGUGAAACACGUUAGCUGAAAGAGAAGCAUCACUCGACGGCCUGCACAGUGAACAGGAGGGAGGGAGGGAGAUACACGAUGCACGCACCAUCUCAUGUACCGACUCCAUAGCUGCCGCGACGACAAAUCCUUUCGCCCUUUGCUUCACCUGACACGUGCGGGAUGAGCACGAUGGCCCCAACCCAUGAGAAGGAAUACCUGUAACGGAGACGUAUCGCUGGAACGGUUGCAGUUGGUAGGUAGCGGGACAUCGCCACAAAGCGGAGGGUCGGGGAGGAUGAGUGGCUGUGACGUCCGCCCUCAAUGCGGAUACUGGGAUGGAUGGAUGAGUUGAAGAAUGAGGAGGAGGAGGAGGUGUCUUUGUUGAGGACAAGGAUGCUCUCUCUGCCUUGAUACGUGUAACGGCGAGGUGGGGGACGACGGCCGGUGCCCAAGGAGGAGGGCUUGCCUUUUGGGGAGGACGGAGCAGCUUGCUCC